AGCCCCAAUCCAAUGCUUCCCUACGUCCAAGGCCUCCAAGCCCCAUCUCUUCCAAAAUCUAUUCCUUCCCUUGCCUCGCUCGACCGCCUUGAUAUCUACCCGAAGCCAGCGAUCGCUCUACAGCCUCUUAUCCACAAUUCUCUAUGCAUACCUCGCUCUGUUUCUCCUCCUUCGAUGCCCUAGCCUUUCCGUCGCCGGAACCCUAACCGGCUAUUCACCGCCGGCGAAUUCUCCGGCGAGAAUCAUUCGAGUUGUUUCUCUAGGGUUUUUCCAUUUGAUUCGAUUCUACAAUUUGAUUGGUGCUUUUUCUUCUCUUGAUUAAGGUCUCUUUAUUUCUACCACCGCUGUCCUUUUUUCCGUGCUUUUGUAAUCGACAAGAGUAAGGACAACAGUAACGCAUAUGGCACCGGGGCGUAAAAAAGGAGCGAACAAGGCUAAGGCUAAGAAUCAAUUGAGUUUGGGGGAUCUCGUUCUUGCUAAAGUCAAGGGGUUCCCUGCUUGGCCUGCCAAGAUAAGCCGCCCAGAAGAUUGGGACCGAGCCCCCGAUCCUAAGAAAUAUUUUGUCCAGUUUUUUGGAACUGAAGAAAUAGCGUUUGUUGCACCUACUGAUAUUCAGGUAUUUACAAGUGAAUUGAUGAAUAAAUUGUCAGCUCGAUGUCAAGGUAAAACUAAGUAUUUUGCCCAAGCUGUGAAGGAAAUUUCUGCAGCAUUUCAAGAAUUACAGAAGGAAAAGUCAAGUGGUAUUCGCGGUACUGAUAGAGCAGCACGUGGCUGUGAUGCUGCAUCUGUUGAUGGAAUAGAAGAUGAGAUGGUUCUUGAAUCAAAUAAUGACUUGGGGACAAGUGGAACCAAAAGAGAAACAGGGGAUGAGGAAGGUGAUUUUGGUUCCAAAUUGAAGCAUUGUUCACAUAGACUAAGCCAGACUGAAUAUGAUUUAAGGCCUUCUGUCUCAGCUGAUGUAAAUGAUAAUUCAUUUAUCUCAUUGGAGGAGAAAGUUAAAAUAUCCAAUGGUGAGCAGAUGCAGGUAGUAUUGUCUACAUCUUGUUUGGAUGAUCCUUCACAUGCAAAGGAUGGAGAGUCUGGUGAUGUACAUGAAGAUGUUACUUGUGCAAAGAGCCCUGGAAUUGCUGAGAGGGCUUGGGCAAAUGGUCAUAAGUCCAAGAGUAUGGCUAUGGAAACAAAGAGGAAACCUGAAGUUGCUAUUAAGGGGCAUAAAAACAAUAGUCCUGGGAGCUGUGUCACUUUCCUCCCUGAUAAUGGCAAAGAAGAGAAAGAUGGGAUGAAAGAAAAAAAUGCUUCUGGUGGCACCAUUAGCGGGUUUUCUCCUGAUGCUAUUAAACCAGUUUCUGAAGAUGUUAAAUCAGAUUUUGAAAUCAGACAAAAAAAAGCAAAUGAACAUGAAAAAGGCAAAAAAAGUUCUAUGGUGCCUGAUUGUAUGCAGGAAAAUAUAUUGAAUUCCAUUGAUGAGAUCUCUGAUAAGAAAAAGAGGGCCCAAUCUGCACUUGGAAAAGCAAGUGAAGCUUUACAUCCUGUGAAAAGGCCUAAGCAUUUAGGUGUGGGGGAUGCAGCUGCUAAGGAAUCUAUCACAGAAAGUGUUAGGAGUGAUUCUCCAAGUUCCAAUGCAGUCAACCAGUCCAAAUCACAGGAAAAAAGAGAAAUCCUUUUGGCAUUAGGAGCCCAAACAGGAAAAGGGAAAUUUGGUGGUUCUGCUCAAGUGGCAAAAAAUAAAUCUGAUGUUUCUUCCAGAACAGGCAAAGUUAAACCCGAUGUCUCCAUACAAAUGUGUAAAGCUAAAUCUGAUGUUGCUACAUUAGCUGGCAAAGUUAAAUCUGAUGCAUCUGCCCAAAUGAGUAAAGCUAAAUCUGAUGUUUCUGCUCAAGCAGGAAAAGUUAAAUCUGAUGUUUCUAGUGAUGAAGCUGUGCUGCCUGUAUCAAAACGUCGUAGGCGGGCCAUGGAGGCAAUGUCUGACUCUGCUUCACUUAAUUCCAAUGAUAAGACUGAAAAAGGUUCUGUGGAGCUGAAGAUUGACUCAACUUCUAAUAAUGCUAGAGUUCCGGUUAAUCAAGUGCCCAAAAGAAGGAGAGCUGUUUGUCUCUAUGAUGAUGAUGAUGAUGAAGGGGAAGAGCCCAAAACUCCAAUUCAUGGAGGAUCCACCAAAAGUGAUAGAGCACUUCCAUCUGUUUUGGACACUUCUACAAGAACUGACCCAUGUUUUGUGGGUUCCAUUAAUAAUCAGCAGGGAAGCUCUGUUAAUGUUCAGGCAAGCGUUGAAGGCUCUGUCAGAUUUGAGAAAAGCAGUUCAAGGGAAUUAUCUUCACAAUUGCGUGAUGAAUCUCUUUCACCUAGCCGUCUGAAAAGUGUGAAGAGGCCUGAUACUUGUGACUCCAAAUUAAUGUUGAGUUCCCCCAAGAGGUCUCCUCAUUCGCUUCCUGUCACCAGACCAGCUGUGGAACAACAUAAAGCUUCAAAACCUUUAUCUAAAGCCUCCAAUGGCAGUUCUCUGAAAAAAGCCCAGUCUGGGUCAACAAAAGUUUUGGGUUUGGUUCCUGAUAGUUUGCACUCUUCUCAAAAUAAUGUGAUGAGUCAAAGAAAUAGACCAAGUAUAUCUGGAGAAAGACCUAAAAAUACUCCAAAAGCACGAAUGAGCGAGCCUGCUGUUUUAACAGAACCAUCAACAGAACAGGAAGGCGGUACAGAAGGUAGAGACAUUGCAUUGGUUGAUUCUAAGACUCCAGAUUCUGUUAUGUCCAUGAAACACCUUAUUGCAGCUGCUCAAGCCAAGAGGAGAGAAGCUCACUCACAACAUUUCUCUCUUGGAAACCAUAAUUCUUUUAUAUCCAUCAGUGAUCCACAGGGAAUAAGUCCCACUCCCUCAUCAGUCCAACCUUUUUUAUCUGGCACCAGCACUGCAUUACAUAUUGAUCUACAGGGCUUUCAACAACGCACAAAUGUAGUUUCUCCUUCUACUCAUGGUCAUCAAUCAGCAUCACACAACCAAGUGGAAGCUGAAGAAAUUGAUGAGCAAAGAGUUAGUUCUGGACACAGGGGUGUUGGAGGCUCUCUAAGUGGUGGAACUGAGGCUGCUGUAGCUCGUGAUGCUUUUGAGGGGAUGAUAGAGACUUUAUCAAGGACAAAAGAAAGUAUUGGGCGUGCAACUCGGCUUGCCAUUGACUGUGCGAAGUAUGGCAUUGCCAAUGAGGUGGUGGAGCUGCUAAUCCGGAAAUUGGAAACUGAGCCCAGUUCCCAUCGUAAAGUGGACCUCUUUUUUCUUGUUGAUUCAAUUACGCAGUGUUCACAUAAUCAAAAAGGUAUUGCUGGAGCUUCAUAUAUUCCAACAGUUCAAGCAGCAUUACCUCGACUUCUGGGUGGUGCUGCCCCUCCAGGAACUGGUUCUCGUGAAAACCGUCGUCAGUGUCUCAAGGUUUUACGCCUGUGGCUUGAGAGAAAAAUUUUACCUGAUUCCGUUUUGAGGCGCUGUAUGGAUGAUAUUGGAGGUUCACAUGAUGAUUCCUCUGCUGGAUUGUCCCUUAGACGUCCAUCUCGAGCUGAGCGAGCUGUAGAUGAUCCCAUCAGAGAAAUGGAAGGCAUGCUUGUAGAUGAAUAUGGCAGCAAUGCUACAUUUCAGUUGCCUGGAUUUUUGUGUUCCAAUGUGUUUGAAGAUGAAGAUGAGGAAGAUGGUCUUCCUGGAAGUUCAUUGAAGGAAGAUGGUGAUGUGCCAUCACUAGAAGAAACCCCUCGUACUUUAGUAGAGUCAGAAACAUGUACUGUUACUCCAAAUGACAGGCGUCAUUGCAUCUUAGAGGAUGUGGAUGGUGAACUUGAAAUGGAAGAUGUGUCUGGACACCAAAAGGAUGAAAAACAGCUGUUCACAAGUUCUUUUGAAGUGGAUGCUCCACAGCAUUGCUCAGAUGCGUUUUUGGAGCCUGCAGUCACUGAAUCUAUUGAGCUGCCCCCUCUGCCAGAGGGUUCUCCACCAUUGCCUCCUGAUUCUCCUCCCCCACCCCCACCUUUACCUCCCUCACCACCACCGCUCCCCCCGCCUCCACCCCCAACAUCUCCAUCACCGCCACCACCUCCUCCAUCACAGCCACCUCCUCCUCCUGUACCACCUUUGGGCCCUCCACAAUCAUUGGCACCUCAACAGUUAGCACUGACUCAACCAACCUUGGUGUCGCAGCCAAUUCUACCAUCGGUGUCAUCAUUUCAGUCCUCACCACAGUUGGCAUAUCCACAAACAGUAACUCAUGAAUAUUGCAGUACAUCCAGUGGCAAUCAGCUUGCUCAAAUGUCCGGAAAUAUUCAUGGGAAUCACAUGGAUGCGGGUGUAAAAAAUGAAUUGUUUACACAGCAGUCACCUCGAUUCACACCUACAGCAGUCUGCAGUUCUAGAGAACCUUCAGGAUAUAAUCCUUCAAGGCAGUUGGAUUAUGGACAUAAUGAUCUGUACUCGAAUAACCAACCUUCUCAACAAAACCCCCAUUUUCAAACAGGAAAUGUUCCUUUUUCACAAAGACCUUUGCACCCAGCCUUGCCUCAAACUGCAUCUGGUCAAUUUUCUUUUGCAAAGCCUGCUAUUCAGCAGCAUCCUCAGCCUGCAAUGCAGCAACAUCCUCAGCCUAUGCAGCAACAUCCUCAGCAUCCUUUUCCUCAUCCAUAUGCUAUCCAUUCUCAUCCUGAUGAACGAAGGCGAGUUGUUGGUGAUGAACUUUGGAGGAUGCCAUCAAGUGAAUUUAACAUAGAUAAUCAGCAUGGCACUUGGAUGAGUGGAAGAAAUCCUUCACAUUCAGCUCCUUCUUUUGGGCAGGAAGGUUACUUUCGGCCACCCCUUGAAAGGCCACCUACUAAUAAUAUGGGUUUUCAGCCUAAUAAUUUACCAGCUGGAGCUCCUAUACCAGGUCAUGGUGUUUCACAUAUGGUGCCGUGUAGACCGGACAUGUCUGCCCUUAAUUGUUGGAGACCAGCAUAAGAACUAGACAGAAGCUUUCUUAAUGCUGCAUGCAGGAAAACAUUUGUGAAUUCACUUUGUAUUACACCUUAAGAAGGUUCGACUUCUGGACAAGAUACAACUGGCAUUUGAAGGCUGUGUUUGGCCCUUGUGGAAGCUAUUGGCAGGACUGUCUAUAUUGUAAUAUUUCCUGACAAUGUUUCCCUGGAACAUUUUCUCCGAGUGUAGGCCCAUGUUUCUGACUUGGUUGGGGAAAACAUUAGUAAAAAAUUGCUGUCAUUUGUGGUGUUUCAUCGUGGUACACACUGAAGAAUAAGAUUCUCUGGCAGUCAAAUUCUGCAAAAAUGUUGAGGUAAAUAUUUGUCAUGGAUUUCCAAGUCAGACAACACUCAUAAUUUCCCUUUUUUGAGAUAGAAAUUAGCCUUCUUGCUAGAAUAUCUAAAGGAAAAGUUUCGGCAAAAUGCUUCAUUUUUUAAAAAAGAAAAAAAAAUAGCAGCAAUGUUUACUAAUUAUCAUGUCCUUGUGAAUGUCCUAAUGUACAAUUUAACACAUUCCUUCUUAUAAAUUGUAUUCACUAAGUUUAAUUUUCCAGUGUGUGUGUGUAUAUGGUCUA